rnacentral:rRNA from 1 species
UGGAGCAUGUGGUUUAAUUCGAAGCAACGCGAAGAACCUUACCAGGUCUUGACAUCCCGAUGCUAUUUCUAGAGAUAGAAAGUUACUUCGGUACAUCGGUGACAGGUGGUGCAUGGUUGUCGUCAGCUCGUGUCGUGAGAUGUUGGGUUAAGUCCCGCAACGAGCGCAACCCCUAUUGUUAGUUGCCAUCAUUCAGUUGGGCACUCUAGCGAGACUGCCGGUAAUAAACCGGAGGAAGGUGGGGAUGACGUCAAAUCAUCAUGCCCCUUAUGACCUGGGCUACACACGUGCUACAAUGGUUGGUACAACGAGUUGCGAGUCGGUGACGGCGAGCUAAUCUCUUAAAGCCAAUCUCAGUUCGGAUUGUAGGCUGCAACUCGCCUACAUGAAGUCGGAAUCGCUAGUAAUCGCGGAUCAGCACGCCGCGGUCGAAUACGUUCCCGGGCCUU